AGGUAGCUUUCAAAUUCUCAUCACACUAUUUAGUCUUGAAAAAUCUGUGGCGAAGUGUGGAUAGUUCAUAUGUUAUUUGACCUGACGGUGUGAGAGACCGAGGUUACCAUUUAUGUUAUACUUAACGGAGUUGUAUAUGAAUAUUGAUUAUAAAAGAAAACAAAUCAGGUUGCAACAACUUUUUGACGAAAUUGUUGCUAAUUACGAACCAGAACCGUACAGUGCGGUGCAGUGUAGUGUAUAAAAAAUGAGGAAAAAAACGGACAAUAAUUUCAGUUUGUGUUGGACAUUUGUUGAAUAAUUUUAUUUUUUUUUUGUGAUAUUUCAACCCUUGUCGAUAUGUUUGUUGAUAUUUUGUAUUCAAAAACUUGACAGUAUUUUGUAAAUUGUUUGUCAAUUAUUUCAGUAUCUAAAAGAAGCCACUUUUUUUUAAUGUGCAGUUUUUUCCCGAAUAUAAAUAAAUAUUGAUAAUUUC
rnacentral:lncRNA from 1 species